UAAAAUAAUGGGGAUUAUUUUACUAAAUAACUCAGUCCUGUGAGAGGCUGCAAAACCAUUCUGAUUAAACGGAAAGUAACCCUUGCUCCUCACACCGGGAAUUGCAGGCUCCAUGAAGAGAUUCCAUUUUGGAAAACCAGGAAGAGCUGGAAAUUGAUGACAAUUCUACAUUUUGAACAGUUGGAGCACAAGAUUCACAUUCACUCAAUUUCCUGCUGGCAGCAACUCAAAGCUGCACUGCAAAGAAAAAGGUAAUUAGGUAGCCUGCCCGCUCUGACCGUCUCUGGCCUCCCUCAAACCCAGACAGCUGCUGCAAGCUUUCCAUCCUCUUCAGCAGAAACACACUGUGACUCAAUUCUCUCCCUCACCUACCUUAUUGCCUUUGAACCAAGUGGGGAAAACUGAGGUACAAUUGUUCCCAAUUUGCUAAAGGACACCUAACAAAUCUCUGUCAGAGAUAGCAAUGGAACCCACUUGUGUGUCUCCACCAGAAGACUCUGAAAGACUGAGGCUUGCUCAUGUCUGAGGGGCACAAGCUGUACUGGGCCAUGCCAGGGCCGGACAUUGUGCUUUGAGGGAUACAAAGCUUCUGGGCUCUUUUGACCUUAUGGGACCGUACAGCUAUCUGACAUUACACCCAAGGGUCGAGUACCAUUUCUUCUCCCAUGAUGUAUGCAGCUUUAUUCCCCACCUCAUGGGGAGUCAUGGGUGACUUGAAAUUUUAGCUUUGUUCAACCUUUACA